CUUCCACCACAUGUAUCAUCUACUCUCUCUCUCUCACCUAAUCACUAUUCACCUUCUCCCUCAAUUGCACACAAAACUUCCCCCAAAUCAGAACUUUCGCCGCCUCACCCAAAUUCACACCUCGAGACGUCGACCAGCCAUCCCUCCGACGCCACCAUCGCACCGCAGUCGGCGUGUUUUCCUCCAUGUCAUCUCUCUCUUCACCGCACUGCCGCCUCUGCCACGAAUCUGCCGUCGCGGAUCCGCCGUCGUCGACUCCUCCCUCCAUCAUCUUCUCCUCUCCAUUCCUCUCUCUCGGCUCCCCCCUCUCUCUUCUCUCUCUCUCUGAUCUGCCGCCGCCGACCGAUUGUGCAUGCACAGUCGGCGGCUUCGGCCUCCUUCUUACCACGCCGGAGCAGCUUCCCGUCGGCUCCACGGCUACUGCCUCCUCAUCUGAGGCCACUACCGUCGCCAUUUCGCCGACUUCCGAGAAGGGCUAAAAUCUUACCUAUAUGCAUAUGUGGAAAGAACGAAAGAAAAAAAAAGGAAAAACUUAUGUUGUUGUUACUUACCUUUUAAUAUGUGAAGGAAAAGACUUCACUGCAAUUUUCCACUGUGA